GACGAACGCUGGCGGCGUGCCUAAUACAUGCAAGUAGAACGCACAGUUUAUACCGUAGCUUGCUACACCAUAAACUGUGAGUUGCGAACGGGUGAGUAACGCGUAGGUAACCUGCCUGGUAGCGGGGGAUAACUAUUGGAAACGAUAGCUAAUACCGCAUAAUAUUGAUUAUUGCAUGAUAAUUGAUUGAAAGAUGCUAUUGCAUCACUACCAGAUGGACCUGCGUUGUAUUAGCUAGUAGGUGAGGUAACGGCUCACCUAGGCGACGAUACAUAGCCGACCUGAGAGGGUGAUCGGCCACACUGGGACUGAGACACGGCCCAGACUCCUACGGGAGGCAGCAGUAGGGAAUCUGCGGCAAUGGACGAAAGUCUGACCGAGCAACGCCGCGUGAGUGAAGAAGGUUUUCGGAGCGUAAAGCUCGGUUGUAAGAGAAGAACGGGUGUGGGAGUGGAAAGUUCACUCUGUGACGGUAUCUUACCAGAAAGCGACGGCUAACUACGUG
rnacentral:rRNA from 1 species